AACCUAGCACACCUGCGGUGUGUACCUGCGGAGGGAUCAUUAACGAAUAAACCUGGUGGACUGUCGCUGGCUCUCUAGGGAGCAUGUGCACGUCUGUCAUCUUUAUCUUUCCACCUGUGCAAUUUCUGUAGACCUGGAGAAAAUCUAUUCUGAGGCAACUCAGUCGUGAGGAGUUGUAGGCGUAAAAGUCAGCUCUCCUUGAGUAUCCAGGUUUAUGUCUUUCACAUACUCCAAUGCAAU
rnacentral:misc_RNA from 1 species